AGAAUCUACCUGUGAAACUUUACCUGUUAGUAUAUACAUGUUGAAAGAAUCAAAGUACCAGAAAGGCAUCACUAAUAAUAUGCACCAAAAUAAAUUAUUUUAUCAAGUUGAAAUUUUUAGGCUUAAUACAUCUGUUGGUCCUUUAACUUAUUUUAUUUUCUCAGUUUGAUCCCUUAACUGUAAAAUGUCUCAAAUUGGUCCUUUAUCUGUGUUUUGUUAGUAAAUUUGGUCCUAUUUUGUUAAUUUUAACUCAUUUAAAAAGGAGACCGUUGGAUAAACGAGGUCUAUCAGAUCUAACCGUGUAUCAACAUGUAUAAAAGUAAAAUAAAUUAGGUGUAUGACGAUGAAGAUGAAUAAAAGUAAAAUAAAUUAGGUGUUGGUGAUACACUGUUAGAUCAGAUAGACCUCAUUUAUCCAACGAUCUCCUUUUUAAAUGAGUUAAAAUUAACAAAAUAGGACCAAAUUUACUAACAAAACACAGAUAAAGGACCAAUUUGAGACAUUUUAUAGUUAAGGGAUCAAACUGAGAAAAUAAAAUAAGUUAAAGGACCAACGGAUGUAUUAAGCCAAAUUUUUAUUAUAAUUAGACAGUUCAUAUUUAGUGUUAACAUCAUUAUAUAUGAACAAAACCAUUUUACUUUAAUUGCUGCAAGUGGGGAACGGCAGCAAUAACAAAACCACCAAGUUAUUCCCAUCACAAACAUCAUGAGAUCAAUAGGCCAACAAGGCAAUAUUACUUUCAUGCUUCAUUAUGCGCUGAAAUUUAAUUAAUAAAACAACAGGAGCUGCUGAUACACACAUGCACCGGAAUUUUCCUUCACAAACUCGGAUUUGUGAAGAAGCACAACAGCUUGAGCUAAUAUGAAGGUUUGAGACGCGUUUUAACAGAAAGAGGGAGACAAAGUUAAAAUUAUUACGUUCAAAGUAGGUGAUAAAAUGUAGGACAAUGCUUAAGAGAUACAAACUGAUAAUUGCAUACGAGCAGAGAGAACCCAAUCACCAUCAACGUGAUUUGACAUUUCAGAGUGAAAAAUAAUAAGUAUCCCAUAGAAUGCUGUAAUGGAUGUUUAGGCUGAGGGGUAUGUAGUCAAUUCAAAAAUUCUGGAGGAUAUCAGAAAAAAAGGCAAGUAGGUAAGAAAAUGACACAGCUUACCAACACAUACUACGCAUCAAUAAGAACUCUAAAUAAGACGAGCGAUGAGAUUCAUAAAGAUCAGUGUCGUGAUGAUGUUUCCUAAAAUGCUAGAACCACAAUACCCAGUUCCACACCUUUAGAAUAGAGUUUGGAGGAUAUCGCUUUGGUGAAGGCAAGACAGCAUACAAUGUGUAAGGUGGAUGAUUCCAUCCUACUUGGAUCCUCUAAAACCGGCUUUAUCGUGCAGCCCACUGUAGAUCGUUAGAUUUAAGAGAGUCUCUCUUAAUCUACAAUGGUCUACAGGCGGCUGUGUCGUAAAGCUAGAAGUAGAGGAUCCAGCUUCCAUGUUCUUCUGCCUCACUGGUGUUUUCAUGAACUUAGGUCAAAAAGUCAUACUACUGGGUCUUCCUAAAUCCUAAUGAAGUAUUGAGACAUAACAAAGUAAAUGACGACACGGGCAGUUCUCUGUAUAUUACAUUCAGCCCAAGCUACAUGUUCUGCAAUGUUUCCUUUUUGGCAUAUUGACAUUCCAGCCUUGAGGGACCUCCCAUUGGUAUAAAAAUUCAAACAAUGUGAGCCUUCGACAAUUCCUGACAUUCUUCACAUUGUAAAUGAAGACACGGGCAGUUCUUAAUGCUAAUGACAAACAAUAUAUGCAAGACGAGAUCGUUUCAUUACAAACAAUUUAAUUUAACUAGAUAUAAACAUGGUCUAAAACACUCAAACCAAGCAUAAGUGAAUCAAUAAGGACAAAAAGUAUAAAAGAAUAAAGCAUCAAUUUACUUCGUAAAGUAUCACUCUCUCGUCAAACAAUGUCAGCCUUCGACAAUUCCUGUCAUUCGCAUUGUAAAUGAAGACACGGGCAGGUAUUCAUGCUAAUGAUGAACAAUCUAUGCAAGACAAGAUUGUUUCAAUACAAACAAUCUAAUUUGACUAGAUAGAAACAUUAUAUAAAACACCCAAACCUAGCACAGGUGAAUCAAUGACAAAAGGUAUGAAAGAAUAAACCAUCAAUUUAGUCCCUAAAAUAUCACUGUCUCCAAUUUAGUCCUUAAAG
rnacentral:lncRNA from 1 species